rnacentral:rRNA from 1 species
AUGGCGGCGCCGACGAGAGCACUUGUCCUCGCCGUCGCCAACGCCGAGGCGGCAUCCGUCGUGGUCGGCCUGGCCAAGUGCGCCGACUGCACCAGGAAGAACAUCAAGGCCGAGGAAGCUUUCAAAGCUCACUCUUGUUCGGCCAUGAAUGCACAUCAGGUCUUCAGGUGGCGAUCAAGUGCAAGAACGUCCACGGCGACGCCACGUUGCAUCAAAGCACACAUACAUAUUGAAAUUAGCUCACUCUUGUUCGGCCAUGAAUGCACAUCAGGUCUUCAGGUGGCGAUCAAGUGCAAGAACGUCCACGGCGACUACGAGAGCAAGACGGUGGGCGGCCUCGACGGCACCGGCACCUUCAGCCAAUUGAAUUAUGCUCCACAUAAUGCAUCCAUCAUCAUCAUCAUGAACUGGAAGAUCAUCAUCGUCAUCACAUUGUAG